rnacentral:rRNA from 1 species
CCUACGGGAGGCAGCAGUGGGGAAUAUUGGGCAAUGGAGGCAACUCUGACCCAGCAACGCCGCGUGAAUGAUGAAGGUCUUCGGAUUGGAAAGUUCUGUGAGGGGGGAUGAACACAAUGACGGUACCCCAAUAGCAAGCCACGGCUAACUACGUACCAGCAGCCGCGGUAAUACGUAGGUGGCACGCGUUAUCCGGAAUGACUGGGCGUAAAGGGUGCGUAGGUGGUUUAUGAAGUUGGCGGUGUAAUUCCGGGGAUCAACCUCGUCGCUACCGCCAAAACUAUUAGACUAUAGUGCAGGGGGGGUAAGUGGAAUUCCUAGUGUAGCGGUGGAAUGCGUAGAUAUUAGGAGGAACAUCAGGGGCGAAGGCGACUUACUGGACUGUAACUGACACUGAGGCACGAAAGCGUGGGGAGCAAACAGGAUUAGAUACCCGAGUAGUC